UAUCAUUCCCCCCAUACCUCUAUUUUUAGGUUUGUAUCUACUCUUAAUUUUUGUAUUUCUGGAUCAGGGUGUUUUCCAUAUCCCCAAAUACUUGUUUGAGUAUAUUUCAUACAGCUUAGAGUUUUGUGUUAUGGGUUUCUUCAGUUUUAUAGUUGGUUUUUGGAGAAAGUUUUCAACACAGUAAUGCUUUGACUUGUGUUUUGUGAUUUUUUAAAUAGUUUUAUGUGGUUGUGGUUUGCUUUCUGUCUAUGCCAAUUCAUUUCAUGAACAGCGAUCCUAGUUUGAGAACAUUCUCUUACGUCUUAUGUCAAUUAUGCCUUCUUCUAUGCAGUUUCUUUUGUGGAAAAGGGAAGGAUUGGUAUGUCUUAUUUCUCUUUUGUUUCUGUAGUAUCCUUAAUUUUUUCCUUUUAUUUCCUUACCUACUUCUUAUUGUCUUGUAUUCAACUAAUGCUACCAUUUUUCUUUGUACCUGCUACUCCCCACAAAGUAACCAUCUUGGGGCUGCCUCAUCUGGUUUCACACUUUUUUUUUAACUUUUAUUUUAGGUGUGGGGGCACAUGUGAAGGUUUUUUACAUAGGUAAACAUGUCCCUGGGGUUUAUUGUACAUAUUAUUUCAUCACCCAGGUAUUAAGCCCAGUACCCAAUACUUAUCUUUUCUGCUUCUCUCCCUCCUCCCACUCUCCCCCCUCCUCCUCAACUAGACCCCAGUGUCUAUUGUUUCCUUCUUUGGGUUUUACACAUUUUCAAGCCCCUUCCCUAUAAUUAGUGCCAUAAGCUAUCAAGGCCCAGCCUAUAUUCAGUAUUUUGCCAUUUGUUGUUGGACUGGCACUUUCUGGAAGUGCUUCUGUCUACAUGUUAUCCAAGUUCUUUGCUCCUCUCUAUUCUUUUUCAUGAAAUCUCUUAAACCUCUCCCUCUUCACUCCUUGCCCUCACAGGUUUUCAAUGGCAGAAGAACCAUGGUAGUCCAUUAUAAUUUUAUUCCCCUUUACUUACAGAUAACUUGAAGGUCAUGAUGUUCUGUUUUCUAGUUAUGCUGACGACUCAAAUCAGGUAUGCCCUUGUUGAGCUCUCUUCAGAUCCUUCCUUCCUAACUUCCUUCCUGAAACAAUGCAGUUGUCAAAAGCAGGUCAUGAUCUUUGUUCCUUCAGUGAUCUGAUGCCAACCUUGAGGCUCGUGGACCCUACAUCCUCACUGAAGACUGUUUGAUGGCUGGGGUUUCUUUCUUUCUUUUUUUUUUUUGAGACAGAGUCUCACUCUGUCGCCCAGGCUGGAGUGCAGUGACACCAUCUCGGCUCACUGCAAGCUCUGCCUCCCGGGUUCACACCAUUCUCCUCCCUCAGCCUCCCGAGUAGCUAGGGCUACAGGUACCCACCACCAUGCCUGGCUAAUUUUUUGUAUUUUUAGUAGAGACGGGGUUUCACUGUGUUAGCCAGGAUGGUCUCGAUCUCCUGACCUCGUGAUCUGCCUGCCUCGGCCUCCCAAAGUGCUGGGAUUACAGGCGUGAGCCAGCAUGCCUGGCCAAUGGCUGGGGUUUCUUAAUUAAUGAAUUAUCACACUGAUACAGAAACUUAAACUUACAGACUUGAUUUGUGUUUAAUUAAUAUAGACUUAUUUGUUUGUCUGACCUGGAAAUGCAUUUUGGACAUUGUUGACAUAUUCCCAAGGCCAAAGACAAGAGAAAUAUAAAAAUAAUAAUUUAGAAUGAACAGCUUCCAAUCACUGCAAACAAAAAUGAUGGCUCUUGGCAUUAUUAUUUACAUUUCAAUACAACCAUUGCUGUAGGAUACCCAGCACAAUUAAGCCUCUAGGGACACAUUCAACCAGCGCACACUUUUUGUAUCAGAAAAAUCGAAUCAAUAUACAGUGAGGUUCUGUAUUAACAUGAAAUUUAGGAGGCAUUUAUGCUAAGCUCAAAAAUCUAAUUAGUAGUUUCCUGUUUAGAGGAUAGUGCCUGUUUAUUACAUUUUCAGUUCACCUGGAUCUGUAAUCAGUUCUCAGGCUUGUUUUCCAUUCAAAUGGUAACAGUUUACCUUUCAUCCCCAACUCUCCACAUAAGGACUCAGGAACCAAAUGUACCAGAAACAAAUGGCACUGAGGAUUCAAAAUGAGGACUUUAAUUAAAAUGCUUAGGUCCCUA